ensembl:lncRNA
UUGCAGCAGGUACACCUGCACUGAAAAAAAGGGACUGGCCAUCUCUUGGAUUUAUGUGAAGUAAGUCAAUAAGAUAGCAACGUUAAAUCUCGUGAAACCACGCGUGAUUUCAUCUCGCGGGCUUUGGAUCGUGGUUCAAAAAAGGCAUCCAUCUCAGUCAAGUCGAGCAGCCAACUCUACGUUUUUGGUAUGUCUUGAUUUUUUGAAUUAAUAUUUACCAUAUUUCAGCCAAAUGUAGUUAAACGUCUAGAGUGUCGCCAUGUAACAUGCUAAAAAAGAGCCAUUAGCUUAUUUGCUGUUUUAUCUGUUGUCAAAGAAUUGGCGCUUUUUCAUUUGAAUUUGUCUUUGGCACAAGAGCCGUAAUAUCACAUUAAACCUAAUUAUGAGGCACUCAUAACAUAAUUUGGUUUUCUGUGUGAAUAGAUUUGCCAACUGACUCUUCAGUUACAUUGUGUAUUUACUGCACCGUGGUGUUAGUGAGAUUUUGGACAUUGAACAGCUUUAGCUAAUAUCAUUAGCGGCAUUAUGCUAGCUUACAUCCCUACCCCUCCUGCCCUCACCUGCUGUCCUUUUCUUUUUGUUUUUUUUGCUGCACAUUGAGAGACCACAUCUAUUCUGCAUUUCACCAGGAGUCAGCUGAUGGAUUGUGGGUUCAAGGUGUUAUGAUAAAAUGCAGCAUUCCAGUGCAUCCCAACCAUGCCUUUACAGUCAAGGUUUCUGACGGAGCUGAGUUUCUCUCUGACAGUCUGCUGAAAGUGUUUGCAAAGUGAUCGGGGGAACAGUGCACAAAGCUAAAGGAUGUAGCUGCCAUGAUGACAGAUGACAUUAAUGCUCAAAGGGAGUCUCAUCAAAGUGCUCCGCAUCUGUGUGAAAGACAAUUGCAACAUCUUGGUGCAGGAGUUCAUGGACUUGACUGAGGCCACUGCACAGAUUGAGAAAACCACAAUGAACAUCUGUCUCCAGAGAUGCGCCAGGCAAUGACUUUUCUGAUGUUGGCAUCAUCAUCGAGGGUAUAGUAGUUCUUCAAGAUCUGGAUAACGUGACCUUUGCAGUAGCCAUGCUGUUUGGACCUUUUUUAUUCCUUCAAUAUGAGUUACCCAUCACAGCUCUGCUACACUUUUGAGGUGAUUCAAUGGGUGGUAAUGGAGUUGGAAGCAACUCAGCUCUCAAGAAAAGCUCACAACUGAGACAAAACUGCUCCUGCAAGGAAAGCUCACUGUUAUGCAUGCAAGGUGAUCAGCUCUAGGUGAGAGGACAUUUAAAUCUCACACUUGUUCUGCUGCAUUUUUGAAGCUCAAUUCCAGGAGCAGAUCGCAGGGUUCAUUUUUAUAUACUCUGCAACUGCCAUGAGGACAAGCCGUUUUUGUUGUUGUUGUUUGUUUUUCCUUUUGCUCUGUACAAGUUCUCUGUUUGUCUGUUUGGCAGCAUUUUUAAAUUUCUGUUUGUAUUUUUUCUUUCUUUUACUAGUGAAGAGAUGUAGCGUGAACAGUUAUACAGUCUAAAUAUCCCAUAUGGGUCGUGUGAAAUGGUAUUUUCAGUUUCAUUCAGUUGAAGUAAAGAACGUUGAAUAUUUCUAAGUAUGCUGUUUUGAACCAAGAUGUCACAGUAUGAUCAGUGCUGUAAUUUUUGACAGUCACUGUAUCAAUGUUAUUUUUGCGUCUCUUGAAUAAAGUUUUUGACCUGCAAGUGCUAAUUUCUUUAGUUAUUGGGGUAAAAUGGGUAAUGUUAAUAGGAAGGUGUUUGCCAAUUCAGUAACCUAAUUUAAUGUUAAUGGAAACUAACAUUUCCUCAAAUUGUUUAGUUAUAAUUGUUGUUUAACUGAAUCUUGACGUCAGAGGCCUUAAAUAGAAUGUUUUGUAUUGUCCUGUAACAUUUUUCAAAAGAAACAGUCCAAUUUCUUUGCUGUGAUUGAUUCCAGAGAACACGGAAGAACUGACAUUAUUUAACUGUUGAUUUAUAUAGAUUCAGUGGAGGAGUAAUGUCAGUUUAA